CCUACGGGUGGCAGCAGUGAGGAAUAUUGGUCAAUGGACGAGAGUCUGAACCAGCCACGUAGCGUGAAGGAUGACUGCCCUAUGGGUUGUAAACUUCUUUUAUAUGGGAAUAAAACGUUCCACGUGUGGGAUUUUGUAUGUACCAUAUGAAUAAGGAUCGGCUAACUCCGUGCCAGCAGCCGCGGUAAUACGGAGGAUCCGAGCGUUAUCCGGAUUUAUUGGGUUUAAAGGGAGCGUAGGUGGAUUGUUAAGUCAGUUGUGAAAGUUUGCGGCUUAACCGUAAAAUUGCAGUUGAAACUGGCAGUCUUGAGUACAGUAGAGGUGGGCGGAAUUCGUGGUGUAGCGGUGAAAUGCUUAGAUAUCACGAAGAACUCCGAUUGCGAAGGCAGUUCACUGGACUGCAACUGACACUGAGGCUCGAAAGUGUGGGUAUCAAACAGGAUUAGAUACCCUUGUAGUC
rnacentral:rRNA from 1 species